GGUCCCGUAGCUCAGUUGGAUAGAGCAACAGCCUUCUAAGCUGUGGGUCGUGGGUUCGAAUCCCGCCGGGAUCA
rnacentral:tRNA from 1 species